rnacentral:sRNA from 1 species
GAAGGAAACUAGCUCGGACCGUGCAGGUUUGUAGGUCUGUUGGCCUGUAGGUUUCGGCACAAGUCUCAGCGAGAGAAGGAGAAAACUGCCUUGGUUGGAACCUUGCAGAUUCAUCACAAGAGAGCUACAAGAGCCUGGAAGAAGCUGAAGACUGCUACCCUCCAUCCUUACUCACCCUGGACCUGAGAGACCUCUUCAAUCAGAAAUGGAAACAGAGAGAUUCUCCUGGAAACCCCUGCCCCAUAAACGGCCCUCUCGAACACAAUGGGACGGAAUCCACCCACAACGCGCUUGGUUUGCAGAUGUCAAAGAAUCUGCAGAGGGUGCUACUGAAGAUCCAGCCUUAGCCAAUCACCACCUCAUUGGGUGAAAGUUCCAGGGCUCAAUCCAGGACCACACUCUUAUUGGCCAGGCAGGGGCUCCCACAGAGCUUUGAGUAAAUUCUUGGUUGUGCAGUCUGCAGGCAAUGUUGGCAUUGUAAAUUCCUCCCUUGCAGCCUCCUUCAUGUGGUGAGGGGAUCACUUCAGCUGCCUGCUGUGGACAAAGAACAUCAAAUUACAGCAUCACGAGUGCUAUUGUUGCCUGUGGUGGUCUCCCUGUCCAAGCGGGACCGCUUUGCAGAGACCAGACGCAUAUCGCGGCUUGAGCUGAAAAUGCAUUUGUUGCAGCUUAGGUUGAAUUAUUUUUCGUUUGCUCUUUCUUCUACACGCGCCUGAUGGAUAGUGAACCUAUUCAUCAAAAAAGUGCACUGCUCUUCUGUCUAUUGUACCGACUUAACCUCUUCCACCCAAGUCCGCAUCUGUGUGUAUCAUCAAUAAAGUUGUGUGCUUUGAUUGGCAGAAAAGA